rnacentral:lncRNA from 1 species
AGAUAUAAACAUAAAUUGUUUAUACAUUAAACUUUACACACUAUUCCCAAAAUCGAGUAACCUUAACUUAUACACAAUCAUGACUGUCUAACACAUGACAAUACUAUUCUUCAACAUACUUUACAACUUAACUUCACAUUCUAUCCCAAGCUGAACUUGGCAUCAUCCUUUUCCUGUAACUGGCCGUAUUCGCCUUAUCUGCAAUGUUUUAUCAUGAUAUAGCAAGUGUGAGCAUGAAAGUUGCCCAGCAAGUUUAAA